UUCCCUACGGGACGCAGCAGUGGGGAAUAUUGCACAAUGGGCGAAAGCCUGAUGCAGCGACGUCGCGUGAAGGAUGAAGGAUUUCGGUAUGUAAACUUCUAUCAGCAGGGAAGAAAAUGACGGUACCUGACUAAGAAGCCCCGGCUAACUACGUGCCAGCAGCCGCGGUAAUACGUAGGGGGCAAGCGUUAUCCGGAUUUACUGGGUGUAAAGGGAGCGUAGACGGCGAUGCAAGCCAGAUGUGAAAGCCCGGGGCUCAACCCCGGGACUGCAUUGGGAACUGUGGGGCGGGAGUGUGGGAGGGG
rnacentral:rRNA from 1 species